rnacentral:rRNA from 1 species
UACGUAGGGGGCGAGCGUUGUCCGGAUUUAUUGGGCGUAAAGGGUGUGUAGGUGGCGCGCUAAGUCGGGUGUGAAAUUUCGGAGCUUAACUCCGAAACUGCAUUCGAUACUGGCGUGCUUGAGGACUGGAGAGGAGACUGGAAUUCAUGGUGUAGCAGUGAAAUGCGUAGAGAUCAUGAGGAAGACCAGUGGCGAAGGCGGGUCUCUGGACAGUUCCUGACACUGAGACACGAAGGCUAGGGGAGCAAACGGG